rnacentral:rRNA from 1 species
AUCAUGCAAGUAGAACGCUGAAGGAGGAGCUUGCUCUUUCCGGAUGAGUUGCGAACGGGUGAGUAACGCGUAGGUAACCUGCCUGGUAGCGGGGGAUAACUAUUGGAAACGAUAGCUAAUACCGCAUAAUAGUAGAUGUUGCAUGACAUAUGCUUAAAAGGUGCAAUUGCAUCACUACCAGAUGGACCUGCGUUGUAUUAGCUAGUUGGUGAGGUAACGGCUCACCAAGGCAACGGUACAUAGCCGACCUGAGAGGGUGAUCGGCCACACUGGGACUGAGACACGGCCCAGACUCCUACGGGAGGCAGCAGUAGGGAAUCUUCGGCAAUGGACGGAAGUCUGACCGAGCAACGCCGCGUGAGUGAAGAAGGUUUUCGGAUCGUAAAGCUCUGUUGUAAGAGAAGAACGAGUGUGAGAGUGGAAAGUUCACACUGUGACGGUAUCUUACCAGAAAGGGACGGCUAACUACGUGCCAGCAGCCGCGGUAAU